rnacentral:rRNA from 1 species
CCUACGGGAGGCAGCAGUGGGGAAUAUUGCACAAUGGGGGAAACCCUGAUGCAGCAACGCCGCGUGAAGGAAGACGGUUUUCGGAUUGUAAACUUCUGUUCUUAGUGAAGAAGAAUGACGGUAGCGAAGGAGCAAGCCACGGCUAACUACGUGCCAGCAGCCGCGGUAAUACGGAGGUGGCAAGCGUUGUCCGGAAUUACUGGGUGUAAAGGGAGCGCAGGCGGGAAGCCAAGUCAGCGGUGAAAACUACGGGCUUAACUUGUAGACUGCAGUUGAAACGGGUUUUCUUGAGUGAAGUAGAGGUUGGCGGAAUUCCGAGUGUAGCGGUGCAAUGCGUAGAUAUUCGGAGGAACACCGGUGGCGAAGGCGGCCAACUUGGCUUUACCUGACGCUGAGGCUCGAAAGUGUGGGGAGCAAACAGGAUUAGAUACCCCAGUAGUC